GCCCCCGUAUCCCAAUUGGUAGAGGAGACAGCCUCAAAAUCUGUAUAGUGUGGGUUCGAGUCCCACCGGGGGCACCA
rnacentral:tRNA from 1 species